rnacentral:misc_RNA from 1 species
GAGCGCAGAAAAAUUUUGAUGCCAAUAAGGACAGAUCAUUACCGGUGUUUGGUGUUGGAGUAGCAUUUAUUGAUGAAAGUGCUGUCUACCCAGAUGCUUCUGAGAAAGUGGAUGAUGCAAUUAGAGAGAUGAAAUUGGUUGUCUCAAAGCUAACCCCACCUAUGAAGCAAUUGCAUGUGUUUCCAAUUGAAAAUAUAUAUACUUCAGAUUCAAUUGAAGGGAAGGACAGAUUGACAAAAUUACUAGAUGCUGCGAAUGAUGCGACAGGGAAAGAAGACCUUCUGCUACACCUGCGGAUGUUGGCCUUGCAAAAGGUUGCUUCUGAAAAUGGAUACAACAGGCUUAUUUUAGGAUCUUGCACAUCAAGGAUUGCUUGCCAUGUCCUUGCAGCAACAGUGAAGGGCCAAGGAUAUUCUUUGUCGGCUGAUAUUCAGUAUGUUGAUGCCAGAUGGGAUAUACCAGUAGUUCUUCCGCUUCGUGACUGUACAGCACAGGAGUUGAACUUGCUAUGCCGCAUUGAUGG